ACCUGACCCCAUGCCGAACUCAGAAGUGAAACGCUGUAGCGCCGAUGGUAGUGUGGGGUCUCCCCAUGCGAGAGUAGGGAACUGCCAGGC
rnacentral:rRNA from 2 species